GGCUGGGGUAAGACCCAGUCUUUUCUUGACUCUUCAAAGGUCUUGGAAUAAGAGGUGGGUAAGGACGGUGCCAGCCGCCGCGGUAAUACCGGCGCCUCAAGUGGUAGUCGAUUUUAUUGGGCCUAAAACGUCCGUAGCCGGUUUGGUACAUUCGUGGGUAAAUCAACCAGCUCAACUGGUUGAAUUCUGCGAGCACGGCCAGACUUGGGACCGGGAGAGGUGUGGGGUACGCUCAGGGUAGGGGUAAAAUCCUGUCAUCCUGAGCGGACCACCUGUUGCGAAGGCGCCACACUAGAACGGAUCCGACGGUCAGGGACGAAGCCUAGGGGCACGAACCGGAUUAAAUACCCGGGUAGUCCUAGGUGUAAACGCUGUGGACUUGGUGUUGGGGAUGAUCCGAUCAUUCUCAGUGCCGAAGCGAAGGUGAUAAGUCCACUGCCUGGGAAGUACGGUCGCAAGGCUGAAACUUAAAGGAA
rnacentral:rRNA from 1 species